AUGAACGCUGGCGGCGUGCCUAAUACAUGCCAGUCGCGCGAACAGACGAGGAGCUUGCUCCUCUGACGUUAGCGGCGGCCGGGUGAGUAACCCGUGGAUAACCUACCUAUAAGACUGGGAUAACUUCGGGAAACCGGAGCUAAUACCGGAUAAUCUAUUGAACCGCUUGGUUCAAUAGUGAAAGACGGUUUUGCUGUCACUUAUAGAUGGAUCCGCGCCGCAUUAGCUAGUUGGUAAGGUACCGGCUUACCAAGGCAACGAUGCGUAGCCGACCUGAGAGGGUGAUCGGCCACACUAGAACUGGGCCACGCUCCAGACUCCUACGGGAGGCAGCAGUAGGGAAUCUUCCGCAAUGGGCGAAAGCCUGACGGAGCAACGCCGCGUGAGUGAUGAAGGUCUUCGGAUCGUAAAACUCUGUUAUUAGGGAAGAACAAAUGUGUAAGUAACUAUGCACGUCUUGACGGUACCUAAUCAGAAAGCCACGGCUAACUACGUG
rnacentral:rRNA from 1 species